rnacentral:rRNA from 1 species
UACGGAGGGUGCAAGCGUUAUCCGGAUUCACUGGGUUUAAAGGGUGCGUAGGCGGGUAUUUAAGUCAGUGGUGAAAUCCCGAAGCUUAACUUCGGAACUGCCGUUGAUACUAUUUACCUUGAAUACUGUGGAGGUGGGCGGAAUACAUCAUGUAGCGGUGAAAUGCUUAGAUAUGAUGUAGAACACCAAUUGCGAAGGCAGCUCGCUACACAGUGAUUGACGCUGAGGCACGAAAGCGUGGGUAUCAAACAGG